rnacentral:rRNA from 1 species
GACGAACGCUGGCGGCGUGCUUAACACAUGCAAGUCGAACGGAAAGGCCCUGCUUUUGUGGGGUGCUCGAGUGGCGAACGGGUGAGUAACACGUGAGUAACCUGCCCUUGACUUUGGGAUAACUUCAGGAAACUGGGGCUAAUACCGGAUAGGAGCUCCUGCUGCAUGGUGGGGGUUGGAAAGUUUCGGCGGUUGGGGAUGGACUCGCGGCUUAUCAGCUUGUUGGUGGGGUAGUGGCUUACCAAGGCUUUGACGGGUAGCCGGCCUGAGAGGGUGACCGGCGACCAGGCGCCUGCGGUACGGCCCAGACUGCUACGGUCCGCAGCAGGCGGGAAUAUGGCGGAGUGGCGCGGCGUCUGAUGCAGCGACGCCGCGAGCGUGAUGACCGGCUACGGGUUGAGAACCGCUGUGGCCUGAGACGAAGCGAGCGUGACGGUAAUGGGUAAGAAAGCCCCGGCUAACUACGUG